rnacentral:rRNA from 1 species
UACGUAGGGUGCAAGCGUUAAUCGGAAUUACUGGGCUUAAAGCGUUCGCAGGCGGUGAGGUAAGUCAGAUGUGAAAUCCCCGGGCUCAACCUGGGAACUGCAUUUGUGACUGCAUCGCUGGAGUGCGGCAGAGGGGGAUGGAAUUCCGCGUGUAGCAGUGAAAUGCGUAGAUAUGCGGAGGAACACCGAUGGCGAAGGCAAUCCCCUGGGCCUGCACUGACGCUCAUGCACGAAAGCGUGGGGAGCAAACAGG